UACGAAGGGGGCUAGCGUUGCUCGGAAUCACUGGGCGUAAAGGGUGCGUAGGCGGGUCUUUAAGUCAGGGGUGAAAUCCUGGAGCUCAACUCCAGAACUGCCUUUGAUACUGAAGAUCUUGAGUUCGGGAGAGGUGAGUGGAACUGCGAGUGUAGAGGUGAAAUUCGUAGAUAUUCGCAAGAACACCGGUGGCGAAGGCGGUUAGCUGGGCAGUAGCUGACACUGAGGCGCGACAGCGUGGGGAGCAAACAGG
rnacentral:rRNA from 1 species